rnacentral:lncRNA from 1 species
AGGCAAAUGAGUAUUUUGACCACAUCAUCCUCUUUAUGCAUGUUGUCUUACUCCAAGCUGUAUAGGCUCGAAAGCCUACUACCAAUUAAGCAUAUUAGGUGAUGUGCAUCUCUGUGAUGAGAAGGGGUGUGGUCUAAUGACAUCAACACCCUAUAUCAGGUGUGCAUAAUUAUUAGGCAACUUCCUUUCCUUUGGCAAAAUGGGUCAAAAGAAGGACUUGACAGGCUCAGAAAA